AGAGAUGUGUGAUGACGCAUAUCAAUAAGCGGAGGAAAAGAAACUAACAAGGAUUCCCUUAGUAACGGCGAGUGAAGCGGGAAGAGCUCAAAUUUGAAAUCUUCAAGGUUCUACCUUGACGAAUUGUAGUUUAUAGAAGUGUUUUCUGUUAGUAGAGUGGCAAAAGUUCUUUGGAAUAGGACAUCAUAGAGGGUGAGAAUCCCGUAUUUGGUCAUUCUUUCUAGCUUUGUGAUACACUUUCAACGAGUCGGAUUGUUUGGGAAUGCAGUCCAAAAUGGGUGGUAAAUUUCAUCUAAAGCUAAAUAUUGGCGAGAGACCGAUAGCGAACAAGUACCGUGAGGGAAAGAUGAAAGGAACUUUGAAAAGAGAGUUAAACAGUACGUGAAAUUGUCAAAAGGGAAGCGUUUGACACCAGUGUUGUUUUUCCGAAAAUCAAUUACGAAUGUUUUAGUUUUUAAGAAGUUAUGACUUCAUCGGCUUGCUUCUCUCUUUAUGAAACUUUCUUAAUGCACUUUUCGGUUAACAAGUCAACAUCAAUUUCUUUUGUUGUAAAAGGGUACGAGGAAGGUGGCUUUCUUUUCGGAGAAAGUGUUUAUAGCCUUGUACCUCUGCAAUCGGAGAGAUUGAGGUCUGCAGCGUAGAUCCUUCGGGGUUAGAUACAUUUGUGCUAAGUUAUAGCUUUUCAUAGACAACUUGUUGACUAUGUUAAGUCUUGUAGCUUACUCGCUUAUGCUAUUUUACCUACGCUUAGGAUGUUGACGAUCAGCUGAGCGCG
rnacentral:rRNA from 1 species